rnacentral:lncRNA from 1 species
UUAAAAAACCUAGGGCCGCCGUAACCUUCUUCUCCACCCUACGGCCACUAACCAACUCCCCUAUUCUCGUCCCCAGCCGCACCUUCUGUUUCUUUUCGAGACUUCGCAGUGCUAAAUUACAGAAAAAGGAGGCAACAAGAGAAGUAUAAUUUUAGCUUCUUUCGUUCAUUCUCACCUAGGGAAAUCGAGUUCAGAUUCCAACAAAAAGUCAAAAAUACAAAAGAAAAAAUAUAUUUUGUUCUUCAUUUUGAAUUUCGGGUUUUGGUUUUAAAACGGAUUUCGCUUAAGGUUGCUGAAGUUGGUUUCGAGUACUUCUGUUACCGAUCGAGGUUUCCGGUUCAAUUGCUCGUUUAAGUAUCUGCUGAUGCGUCGUUAUUGGUUGUUCUUUUGUUAAUCCAGAAUCGAAAGAUUUCGACAGUGAGGUCAAUUUCUCAUCUUAUUCCUAAUUAAUUUUGAGUAUUAGUGCCUACUUGAAUUUUGAGCAUGAAUGAGGUCCUAUUUCAAGCAUGCUAUCAUCUUUCCCUUAAUCUUCAUGUUGUCUGCUUAUAUUAUUGCUAUUGCGAAUUAGUAUGUUAAAAACAGAUACAUCUUUCCCUUAAUCUUCAUGUUGUCUACUUAUAUUAUUGCUAUUGCGAAUUAGUAUGUUAAAAACAGAUAUUUGGUGAAAAAAUGUUGAAAUUGGAUAAAAGUGGGUCGUGGGAUGUUGCGUUAAAAUGAAACAAAAAUUGGAAUUGUAAUAUUUACCACUUUUAUUACUUGUCCAUCUCUAUGAGCAUGCUAGGCCAACAUCAUUUGGGUAGGUAAUUUUAGGAUUUUUUUAUUUGUUUGCUUUUAAUUUCGAGGCAAAAGAUCGUUUCCUUUGUUAAUUUAUCCGGGAAAUGCCCCGAAGGGCUUGUGCGUAUUUUAUUCCGGAAAAUGCCUCGAAGUACUUGUAUUUAGGGGCCGCGACAACAUCAAUGGAGGCAUAGUGUAGGCUAGCAAGAUUAAUUUCAUUUUGUUUUAUUUUUCCUUUACUAGGUGGGGACGACCUCAAACUUCGUAUGUGUUUAUUUUGCUUUUUCUGUAUUUUCUACCUUAAUUUAAUAUUCUAAAAGCCAAAUUGAUUGAGUACCCAACCGUACUAGUUGGGGGACUACGGAGUGCCUAACACCUUUGCUCCGAUUCAAAAGAACCCCUUACCGUAAUCUCUGGUGUAGACUUGGUUUAGAGUCUGAAAUGUUUUAAAAGGAAAAAAUUAUUUUAAAACAAAAUAGUGACCUGGCACACCGAAAUCAAAUGUCAGGUGGCGACUCUGAAUUUAUUUCCUUUUGAAAUAAAUUUUUGUCACUUUUAAAAUUGAUAAACCCUAUUCAAGCUUUUAUUAAAUUUUUUUAUUUAUUUAAGAGGAUUUAGUGAGAGUUUGUUAAAAAAAGGAGGGGUGUGAUAUCUAUGGCAACUCUGCUGGAAAGUUGCGGGUUCGAGCUAGUUCUUGAUCUUGUUGGCUUUUAGGAUUUUCGGUUGAGGUUUUUAUGUGUUUUGUUUGUUUUAUUUGAUUUUUAUUUUGUUUAUGUCUUUGUAUUAUUUGAAAAGAAUAAUAAUAAGGCUAAUAAGAAUUUAUUUUCACGAUAAAUAUGUCAUUACAGACAACCUAUUGCAAUUAUUUAGACAAAAGCAAUAUUAUAUUUCUACGAAAAAAAUCCCAUAAAAAAUUACAAGACCUAAUCUUAUUAUUAGGAGCGUAUGUAUUUUUCCCCUAUUGGGUUUCCCUAUUGAAACCCAUUUGGGAUAUGGAUCAAAUAACAUUAAGGGAGAAAUUGCUCUAAAGUGGGUAUGAUCUAUUUAAGUUUAUGUGUCAUUUAUUUUAGAUUUUUCUCAUUAAAUUUAUGUCAUGUUAUAGUUGUGGUAGGGUUUUGAGUCAAAAUAACUUUUAUGUGAUAAUGUCAAAGUUUAGUUACUUUUAAGGUUAACCCCAUAAAUUGUCAACAAAGGUUGAAUUUCCUUAGGUGCCUCCGUCCUGACCACAUUGGCAAUACAAGUAUUCUUUACAUUGUCUAAUGUAUAGAACUUAAAUUCAUAGAUUAAUUUGCCGCUUGGGCGGAAAAAGUAAAAUAUUUUGUUAUUUUUUUGCUCUGUUCUAGUGUUGUGAACGAUUAGAACUUAAAUUUGUUAGACUUGUUUUUUGGUUGGUUCAGAUAAAAUUGGAGUAAAAGAAAAUUUAGACAAAAUUGUUUUGGACAAGAAAAAAAGGAUUGUUAUCUAAAAGUAAAGUAUUUUGCUCUCCAUGCGGCAAACGGAUUUUUGUUACGGCACAUGGAUUUGCCUUCCCAUUCCACCAGGCAACAGCCUCUUCUUUAUAUUACACGUUACUUCCACUUCUGAUUACACUUGGACAAAGACGGAGUUUAAAACUUAGAGACAGUAGAUAUGAUGUACUGUUUAAAUAAACUCACUAUAUGGACCUAAGUAUGUACCGUUUAAACUCAAUAUAUGGAGCUACCUUUUAUACAUCACAAUCUCAAAAUAUCCAAAUAAGUUAAAAUCGACUAUAUAAGCUUUUAUUUGAUAACAUAUAUAUCUUUUUAGUGAUGUGUAUAAAUUAAAUUCCUACUACUAAUAUUUAGGAAAAUUUAUGGUUUUAGUCCCUCACAUAUUGGUGAAUUUGUGAUAUCUAACUGAGCACAUUUAACUAAAAUGUGUAAUAUUUAGGGAGGAUGGUGUGUAUGUAGCCUUAUUCUUAUCCUAUAAAGAUAAAGAGACUAUUUCUGAUAUAUCCUCGGCUUAAGAAACGAGAAAACUAAAACUGUUAAUCGGGCCAGGCUGACCUGUUUUCAUCCCUGGCUUAAGGAACAACAAAAGUAAACCUGUUAAUCGAGCCAGGCUGACCGGUUUUAGCCUGGUUCGGCCAGGCACUGUAGUAUAUAGGGUGGGUUGGGAUGGGUUGGACGGGGAGCGGGUUUUGGAUACAUGUGCACUGGAACCAGCUAAGCCCGCUAACCUGUUAACGGGUAAAAAAAUAUUUUUUAAUUUUUAUUAAUUUGUAUACUGUUGUUAACAAAAUUUAAUUAAAACCUGAGCCUGUUAAGCCCAAACCUAGACAGGCUCACAAAAACCCGCAAAUUUCCAACCUGCUAUCAGCCCGCUAUUCCCAACCCGCUAACCAAUCCGAUCCGUUAACGAAUGGGUUGGUUUUUUUGUUCAGCCCGUCUCAGCCCGCACGUUAAACACCUCUAAUCGGAACAUACCAAAUGUACUAUUGUCCUUGGUAUUUCUAAACAUUAUAGGCCAGUAUAUUUUAUCAUGUUUUAAAAUUCAUUAUGAAAUCUAACUAUGAAUUCUAACUUCAUUCCAAUCAUGUAUACACGAAUACAAUUAUUUUUUCAAAUUAUACACAUACAGAAAAAGAUUGAUUGGGAUGGCUCUUAACUCAUUGAUUUAAAAUUUUGGAUGGACCUAACACACCACCAAGUAUUUAAACCACUCAUCUUCUCUACUAACUUUUUCAUCAAUUAUGGUGUGCAACUCUUUUGAGUACUCUUUAUCUUUCUCUUCUUCUCUCCUCCAUUGUCACUAUUAUCAGCAACCCCCUUAAUUGUUUGGGCUCUGAUUAAUUCGGAUUCGCGCUACAAACAUUCCUUAAUCAAAACAAUGCUUUUCGCUGUUUUUCUAGCACUCUUUCUUCCUUGCGUUGGAAUGAGCGUUGUUUUCGUGGUCUACAUGUGUUUUCUUUGCUAUGCCACAACAAAUAAUUCCUCUGGUCGAAACAAUAAUAAUCAAGAAUUAGCAGAUACAAAGCCUCCAAGAGAAAAAGGUCUAUCUUCAGCACAAUUGGAUAAAUUGCCAAAAGUUACAGGCCAAGAAUUGGUGUUGGGAAAUGAUUGUGCUGUUUGUUUAGACGUAAUUGAGAGUGAAGAAUUGGCUAGGUUGGUACCAGGUUGUAACCAUGGGUUUCAUCUUGAAUGUGCAGAUACUUGGCUUUCAAAACACCCUGUUUGUCCUGUUUGUAGAAGUAAUCUUGAAACUGAGUUAUUUAAUCCUCCUCAAACCAGUCCUUGCUGAAAAAAGUAUCGGUGGUUUUUAUUCCUUUUUUCUUGGGGUUACAAUUUUUAAGAUUGAGCAACUGUGGUUGUUAUGAGACGAUCAUGAUUCAGUCAAACACAGGUUUUUUUUUCCCUUACCAAUCUGAGAUUGGUGAUCUUGAUGAUGACAAACCGGACAUGGAGGUUAGAUUGCAAGCUAUCAUUCCCUUUUUUUUCGUUCAUCCAUGGAGUCAAAAUUUGAAGCUAAUUAUGGAUUCGAGGUUUUAUUCUUCCUACGUUAUUGGAUUCUAAAUUAAUAUUUUAAAUAUAUUAAAUUAAAAUUAAACACAAAUAUAAAGUUUGGACCAAAACUACUGGCUUCACCAUGCCCUUGAUUAAUUUGAAUUCCCGGAGGUAGACUCAAUACGGAGGGGUAAUAGGCUUCUAAUCAAAAAGUGACUCGUAAUUUUUUAAUAUUAUCAACCAAACAGAGUGUUGAUGAAAACUUUUAUUAAUAAUUAAAACCCUCAAAGAGAAAAGUUCAUGUGAGAAGGAUCAUUAUAAAUCCUAGUCAGAAUUAUAUAAGAAUAAAGGAAUUUUAAUUAUCAUGUCAUAUUUGAUGGUAGAUAUCGUUUAAUCUGCAUAAGUAGGAGGUGAGAAGUUUGUUUUAAGCAGAAAAUGAAAGAUAGCUUGUAAGCAGAGGCGGAUGUAGUGCAUCAGUGACGGUUCAAAUGAACCCAUAUCUUUCAAGUAAAGUUAAAAUUAUUAAAAUUGUAUAAAUUGUAAAUACGAACUCAUAACUUUAAAUAUAUAAUGAAUUCAACGCUAAAAACUUUAAAAGCUUAACUCAUAAAAUUUAAAUUUUAAAUCCGCUCUGCUCGUACGUUUAUUAAACUGGUUAGUAGUGCAAUUUCUUCAUAAGUCCUGCUUUCUCUUCAUCCAUCAGUGCAUAAAUUAAUUAAUUUUCUAGCCACAGGCCCUACAGUACUAUAUAUCUCGAGCUUUAGGGAAGGUCUGAAAUUAAUCAGGUACAACCAAAUGAUUAAGGCUUGAAAACAAAAUAUUAGAGGGCAAAAUGAAAAAAGGAAAUGAGAGUUUUAAACAACCUUUAGCAUAUGUAAAUAUAUUCGGAUAUAAUUUAAUUUUUAUACAUUAUUUUAUAACGUUUUUACACUAUCAAAUUAGAGAUGAAUGUGACUUGAUGGGAGACAGUGUGACAUAAUAUCAUAGUGGAUGUAUCUUUUCUUUGACGGAAAAAAAUAAGCAUAUAUUUCUUUAAAUUUAAUCGAUUGCAGUCAAGUGAGCAACAUGAGCCAAUACAACGAGCCAACAUUUUUAUUGCCAUCCAUUAUAUCAACAACAACUCAGUAUAAUUUCACGUAGUGGGGUCUGGGAAGGGUAAUGUGUACGCAGACCUUACCCCUACCCUGGGGUAGAGAGGUUGUUUCCAAUUAGAAACCCGGCAUCCUUCCCUCCAAGAACUUCCCACCUUGAUAUUGGGGAGAUUCGACCUCACAACCUCUCGGUUGGUAGUGAGGGUUGCUUACCAUCAUAGCAACCCCUCUUAUCUUAAUCAAACUUAUCAUAAAAAUUAUUUCUACUGCUUAAAUUUAAUUUUAUGUUACGUCUUUAAGAAGCGAUUAUUCACUUAUGCACAAAUUUCUGAUCAUUUACAAAUUCCAAUUGUUAUAGGCGCACAGUGAUAUUGAAGUAAAUAUUGAAUAGUUAAAAACAUACUUCCUCUGUGUCAAUUUAUGUAAACUCAUUUGUCUGGGCAUUGAGUUUAAGAAAAUAGAAAAAACUUUUAAACUUAUGAUGUAAAAUGAAGCACGUAUAUUUUGUAUGACUAUAAAUUAUUGUAUAAAGGUAAAUUAUUUUUAAAUAGAAAAAGAAGUUAUUUUUUUGCCAAAAAAUUAAAAAAAUAGGUUCACGUAAAUUAAAACGAAGGAAAGAAAAAUUUAUGUGCAUAAUUGGUCCAUAUUUGUACGUAACGUAACUUUAAAAGGUGAAAUAGAGGUAAUUUCGGCACGUAGGCGAGAGAGUGACGAUGUGACAGACGUUAAACAAAUGACUUGAAUUGAUUAUUUGGAUGAGUUCAAUUUGGUAGUUUCCUGAGGCUGGAUGCUUAGCCAGCAAAUAUCUAGUGUCUUAUAGUAUGUAACAAUAUUUUUUUUCUUUAUCGAUUUUCUGUUUAAAGGGUCAAAUAACUAAAAUAAUAUUUGAUGAAGGAUGUGUUUGGUACGAAGAAAUCUUUUUUAAAUUUUUUUUAUAUUUAAUUGGCUUAAAUAUUUUGGAAAAUAUUUUUCUUAUGAAUUCAUUUUUCUCCAAUUAUUUUUUUGAAUCAAGAGAAGGGAAAAUAUUUUCCAAAACUACUUAUCACCCUUCCCCAUCCUCACCAACUCAUCCCACCCCUUCUCCAAUAAAAGGUUUUUCACCUUACUACCCUUCCACCCCCCUCCCCCCCCCNNNNNNNNNNNNNNNNNNNNNNNNNNNNNNNNNNNNNNNNNNNNNNNNNNNNNNNNNNNNNNNNNNNNNNNNNNNNNNNNNNNNNNNNNNNNNNNNNNNNNNAAAUUUAUAUUUUUUUUGUAAUUUAAAUUUCUAUGUUUUUCGUUUUACUGUCCCUCCCCCAGUAUCACCCUCUCCCCUGCCCCUCCCCCCCUCGAAAUUUUUUUUAAUAUAUAUUUUUUUAUUUUAAUUUUAUUAUUAAUUGGAUUAAAGGCUCAAAAUUUUUCAAGUUCCAAAAUUAUGAGUUCGGAGGUUUAUGUGUUUGAAAAUUUAUGGGUUUAGAAAUUAAAAAAUUUACGGAUUCGAAAAUUUACUGUUUUGAUAAUUUAGCAGUUCGAGAGUUUAUGAGUUCGGAAUAUUGUUGGUUUGAAAAUCUAUGGCUUCAUGUUUAUUAUAUCUAUAUUAUUUACUCUGUUUAAUUUAUGGCUUCAUGUUUAUUAUAUCUAAACACCAAAAUAUAAAUAAAAUGAAAAAAUUUAUGGCUUCAUGUUUAUUAUAUCUAAACACCAAAAUAUAAAUAAAAUUACUACUUAUUUUCCAAGAAAAUAUUUUUCACGAAAUUAUUUUUUAUUAUACCAAACACGCCCAAAGAGUCAUAAAAUUAGUCCCGUUAUACAUACAGAGGCCUUUUCUCGUGUGGAAAAGGUAAUGGAUUAUAUUAAUAUAAGAAAAACAUACGUAGAAUUUUCUGCUUGAUAGGCCAUAAUAACUGCAUAAUUUAUCUGACGAAAAUGAUUUCAUUCACGUAGAUCUAUCAAACUACAAUGGUAUCUCUCUCACAUUAAUACCAUGGGCAAAAUUUUCUUCCUAAGCAAGCCAUUUUCCACAUUUUGCAACUUAAUACUGGAAUACGUCUUUGUUAAGGAUUUAUUAUUGGGAAAUUACCAGCUAUGUCUAUUUAGAAGUAACUCAUUAUAAAAAUUGGCUAAUUGGUAAAAUAUUACUAAUAUUAGUCAAAAUGGCCAAUUAGCUAUUCGUAGUAAAAAAAUAUCAAUUUGUUUUGAGGGGGUGCUAUUAGAAUAGAUUAGGUAUAUCUUAAGGAACUUGAAUAUCAGUUUUGGGAUGAUUUGGUGAAGUUUUGAGGUGAUUUGAAUUGAAAAUUCAAAGUAAAAACUGAAUAUGUAAAAAAAAUUAUAUGUGUAUUACACUGUGUAUCACACAUGUAUCAUCUUUGUAUCGAUUGUGUAUCACAUGUAUAUCCAUGUAUAUCUGUGUGUGAGAUACAUGCAUGAUACAUAUGUUUGAUACAUGUGUCAUAGAAGAAUUUUUUUGACACCGAUUUAAUUUUGAAUUUUGAUACAAAACCAACCAAAAUCACCUCCAAUCCUCCUCAAAUUUUGUAUAUUGACUUAUCUAUAUGUUUUUAAUGAAUUUAGACUAUACCCAUUAAAAAAUUUCCUUGUUUGUUUCGAUUUUUGAAAUGUUGACUAGAGGCUGGUAAAUUAAAACUUAUAUAGGACAUUUUUGUAAGUUUCCUUUAUUAUUUAUGGCUAAAAUUCGUUUUUUCCCUUAAGGAAGAUUAGCCGAUCAGGUGUUCUACUUUAAUAUCUAUUUUGGCUGCAUAUACUUUACUUUAUUGAAAAGAAAAUGAAGGGGGAAAAGCAAUACUUCAUUGCGCCAACUAUUGAAAUUAAUAGUUGCAGAGGCCAAAGGGGUGUGGGGAAGAGAAGAUUGUGAUGUCCCUCUACAAGUCACAAGACACAUUAACUCACAAGAAUCAAAAUUUUCAAGCAUUAAACCACCACACCUACCUUUCCUACUUGUAAAUCAAUAGGUCAAAUAUAAUAUAAGACCAGAAUUUGAAUAGGAGCAGCCUCAUGUGGCGGAGCUAGAAGGUCACGUAUGGGUUCCGCCGGAUCCAUAGAUUUAGUCCAAACUCUAUUUUUAUAUUAACAACUCAUUAAAUAUGUAUAAAAAUUAAAUUUAGAACUGAGUUAUUAUUAUUCAUAACACUUAAAUAUUUUAAAUUUUAAAAUUUCUAAAGUUUAAAUUCUGAUUUCGGUUACUGGCCUCAUUUAUUUAUGCUAGCUAGAGAGUAGAGCUAUAUCUAGAAUGUCUUUAAUUUACGGCUCACAACCACAAGUGAGAAUUCAUAUCAGCCUCUUGAUUUAUGAUCAACAUGGUUAUAUUCAAUACCUAUUCAUUGGGAAAUAAAGUUUUUGAUGGAAAUACAAACCAAAUGCAUGGAAGAAUCCCUUAACUAGUAAAGUGAUGCUAGAACGAAUCAUACUUCUACCACUAAAUUGUAUAUAUAGUUCCAAUCAGAUUAUAAUAUAUAAACACACCUUUUGUCGAACAAAGGAAUUGUAGUAAACUGGUAAUAUAUUGGCCUGAAUUCUACUUAUAUGGUAAUCUUCUCAUAGAAGGUCAAGCCCACAUAAGAAGGAUUAGGAGAAGUGGAGGACCAAUAUAAAAAGAGUCACGUAGAAUACAAUGGAAUAUAUACUAAAAAUGGAUUUAAAUGAAGAAGCCAAUCAGAAAAACCAACGAGGAAAAAGAAAGAAUAGAGUAGACAAGGAAAAGAGAAGUUAGUGGCUGUCAGUGUUAAGAAUGCGUCUCUUGAAGGUCAAGGAACAGUACAAAAUAACUCUACAACAUCCAUAACGUACUGACGCAUCACAAAGUUUUAGGCAAUUCUCUCUUUUUUUUUUUUUUUGCAUUUUUUAAAAAUAUCUAUGCAUCAAUAAUGUAUAGGUUACUUUUAUAAUCAAAACUACGAAAUGGAGUUCAUAUAUGGAUUUAGAAGGGCUUCAAUGUAUCUGUGUGUAUAUGGUUAAAAUAGGGCUCCAUUUUUUAUGAUUAAUUGAGACCGGGGUGACAUGCUAAGAUUCGACCAUGACUCGAAGUUACAUUGUCAAGUUCAUGACUCGAGAACUGAUCGAGAUCGAGAUCGGUCAAAAUUGAGACAGAGCAAGAUAGAAAUCGAGCAAGACCGAGGGAAGCUCGCCAAGCCAAAUAACAGAAGAUCAAGAACUACUAAAAAUUCGACAAAAACCGAUCAACUUUGAUCGAUCAAAUUAAAAUAUUUUAAAAUUUUAAUUUUUUUUUUAUAAAACCGACCAAUUUUGGCCGAUUUUCUUUAGCUCAAAAAUGCGGAAAACUAUUUUUGAUUUCCUGUAAAUUUAUUUUCAAGAAAUCGCCAAUUUUGGUCGAUUUUUGCAAUUAAAAUAAAUAAAAAUUAAUAUUAAAAAAAUCGACCAACUUUGGUAGGUUAUUUAUGUGUGAAAAUAUAAUUAAAGAGUAUAAAUAAAAAAUAAGACAAUCUUAAAACAAAAUGCACCAAUGGUCUAGUGGUAAAAUAGUAUCUUGUCACACUACACUUCCCCGUUCGAUUCCCACACGGUGAAUCUUUUGAUUACAUAAUUAAAAUACCAACCAACUUUGGUCACUUUUUUUUGCUGCCACAGUACAUAGCCCGGUUAGAUUCCCAGAUGGUAAAUUUUGUGAUUAGAUAAUUAAAAUACCGGCCAACUGUGGUCAUUUUUUUUUGCAAUAAUUUUUUUUGAAUUUAAUUGACCGACCAAACGGCCACCGAAAUAGCGACCAAGCAUGUUUGGACGCAUUUGAUAGGUAAUUUUCCAAAACCGACCAACCUUGGUGUGUUUUUUUGGUAGCUAAUUAUCGGAUUUCUAAUAGUGAAGAUAUCUGCGAUCGGUGAGGAUCCCGACAGAAAUCGUGGCACGUAUCAAGAAGAGGCCGAUCAAUCAGCUAAUCAUGGGAUUUCUUAUUGUACUUAGGAUUGAGUUAAGUGUAAGACUCCCCUACUAUAAAAAGUGGGUCUGAUCAUUUGUAAAGACAUCAUAUUCACGUUAUAUAAAGCAAUAUUCACUUUCUCUUAAGCUCUCAAUAUUCUUGUUACUUUGUUCAAACUUUCUGGCAAAAUAUUCACUUAGUUCGAGGGCAACAUAGCUUAAGGAUCAAAACUGUCAGGACCCGGAUUUUUUCCACCAUCGGGAGUCGUGAUGGCAUCUACUGUAGGAGCUAGGCAAGCCAACCCUUUUAAAAUAUUCCAUAAAACUUUAAUCUAAACAAUUAUAAUAACCGAAAUAAUUAAAUAAAAUGCACGGAAGACUUUUAACAGAAAUAUUAAUAAAGUGCGGAAGACUAUGACAUAGCACUACCCAGCAUCUGGUGUCACUACUCAUAGACUACUAACAGAGUUCUACAAAUAUGAGUCUGAAAGAAAUGUAUAACAAUUCUUUUUUGAUACAAUAAAAAAAACAGAAAGAGAUAGAUGAGACUCAGGGCUGCGAACGCCAGCGAACUACCUCGGAGUCUCGGGACUGAAGGAUCUCUCCCUAUCUACUACUGCGGUCCGUACGCUGUGUCUUGACCUGUGCACAUAGAGGCACAAAAGUGUAGUAUCAGCAAAAUCGACCCCAUGUGCUGGUAAGUGCCCGGCCUAAUCCCGACGAGGUAGUGACGAGGCUAAACCGAACCUACCACAAUCAACCUGUACAGAUAUAUGUGCAAUAACAGAAAGGUAAUAAAUUUUAAGUAGAUAAUGGGGAAAGGACAUGCUGGGGGUAUAACAGUUCAAGUAUAGGUCCAACGAACAAGAAAUGGAACUGAAUACAUAUCAUUAAUAAAGAUAACAAAAUUUAAACAGAUAAUGGGGAGGGACAUGCUGGGGGUGUAACAGUUCAAUUAUAAGUCCAACGAAUAAGAAAUGGAACUAAAUAUAUAACAUUAAUAGAAGAAAGCCAGUGAAUCAACAACUGCACGGCACCACCCUUCGUGCUUUUACUCUUAUUUCUCACCAGAACUGUCAAAUUUAAUGCACUGCAUCACCCUUCGUGCUUUUACACUCAAUACACAGUACGUGGCAUCACCAUUCGUGCUUUCUUCACAUAACGCUCACAUCAAGGCACGAAAUGUCCCUUCGUGCUCAAAUAAUCAAGAAACAUGGCACGAAAAGACCCGUCGUGCAUAAUCUCCCUCUCCCUCACCCAAUCAAUGGUCACAACCAAAUGGGAAAGGAAUAUAUAACAAGAUGAACUGUCCCAGCAAGGGAGAAUAACUCAACAAUAAGUUCCGGCAAGGGAAAAGAGCUCAACAAUAAGUCUCGGCAAGGGAAAAGAGCUCAACAAUAAGUCCCGGCAAGGGAAAGCAGCUCAAUAAUAAGUCCCGGCAAGGGAAAAAUACCAAAAUUUCUUCUUUAGCUCAUUUUCUUCUCAACUAUAUCUUCAUAGAGCAUUUAACAAGUAAUUAUCAAAAUUGUUCACUUCUUUCAAAAUUUUAAUAGCAAUUAUGACUCACGGUCAUGCUAGACUCAGGCGCAUAGGUAAUCGUCACCAUACCUAUACACCGACUCCAUGUAGCACAUAUCAAUUGUUAUCCUAAUCCUAUUCCCUCAAGCCAAAGUUAGAUCAAAAUCCACAUAGCACAUAGCAAAUGUUAUCCUAAUCAUAUUCCCUCAAGACAAAGUUAGAUCGAACACUUACCUCAAAUCCGAAAAUAGCAACUCAAAGCUCAACAAUCGCCUUUUCUCUAGAAUUCGACCCCGAACCAACGAUAUCUAACAUAAAUCGGUUCAAUUUUAUCAAUAAUAGCACAAGGAUACAACUUCCUAGCCUAGAAAUGCAUUUCCUAACUUUCUUCUAAAAAUACCAAAAUCCGACACCGGGCCCACAUGGUCCAAACUCGAGGCUCGGACCAAAUUCAGAUUACCCAUAACCCCACGAGUCAAAAUAUAUGAUUUGUUUUAAGAUUCAACCCCAAAUUGAGGUUGAAUCGCCCAAAAUUCUCGAAAACCUAACUCUACUCAAAAGUCCUAAUUUCUACCAUGAUUUCAUAUUUUAGGGUUAGAAAAUUGAUGUUUAGAUGAAGGAAGUAAGAAGAAAUGAAGUUAGGAUUUCUUACCCAAUGAACUAUGAAGAAAUGCAAGUUUGAAUUUUGUCCAAUGGAGGAUUUUAGGAAGAGCUCGUGUGAGAAUUUGGGAAGAAAUACCGUCACUGUUCUGUUUUUAGGCUUUUAAUAUCACUGAAAAAAUUUGGUAUAUGCGAUCGCGGGGCAAUGGAUGCGAUCGCUUAGGGGAGUGGGAAGCUGGCUUAUGCGAUCACAUACAAGGUCAUGAGGCGAAUUUGGUCUAUGCGAUCGCGGGACAAUAUAUGCGAUCGCAUAGGGGAGUGGGAAGCUGGCAUAUGUGAUCGCAUAAAAGGUCACACGAACGCAUAGAAGGGAGGGAAGCCAAAGUUCUAGGUGGGAUUUAAUGCUAUACGAUCGCGUAGAAGGGGGUGCGAUCGCAUUGAAGAGGCUAGUCAAGCAAUGCGAUCGCGUAGAAGGGGAUGCGAUCGCACUGAACAAAGUGAGAGAUAUGGCAAGGGACUCUAUGCGAUCGCUGAGAAGCCUAUGCGAUCACAUAGAGGAAAGGAUCUGUGCAACAAUUGUAGAAUAUCUGCUAAGUUUUCCAAGAAUAAAACACUCCGAACCACCCCCGAAAUCACUCACGAGCCCUCUAGGCUCCCAACCAACCACACACACUAACUCAAUAUCAUCUUACAAACUUUCUAGGGUGAUCAAAUCGCCAAAAUAACUUCAAAAUUAAAGAAUCAGCCUCCGAAACUCAUGAUUUUCAUUUCAAAGUUCAAAACUUUUAAAAUUUCCAUUUUUAGUUCGAAAUACGUCAAAUGACGUCCGAUUUCAACCAAACUUUACAGAUAGAGCUUAACGCUCAUUUAAGACUUGUACCUGGCAUCGAAACCAAAAUACGAGCCCGAUACAAUUACUUUUGAUCAAUUCUCAUUUUCAUUUUUCCUUAAGCAAUUUCAGAAAACAAUUUCACGGAAAAGUUCCGUACUCAGGCCUGGGACCUCGGAUUUCGAUUCCGGGAAUACAACCGAGUCCCAAAUUUUCCUAAAAACCUUCCGGGACCGUCACAUCACGGGUCCGGUCCCGUUUACCCAAAAUGUUGACCAAAGUCAACUAUAGCAACAUUAUUAUCAAAAUUCAUAGUUUUUAACACAGAAUUCAAAUAUUUCCACAUAAACAUUUUCCGGAUUCGUGCCCGGACUGCGCAUGCAAAACGAGGAAACCAAAUAAGAGGUUUGCAGGGCCUCAGAAGCAUAAAGAAAGGGAGAAUUAAGGUGAUGAUCCUUUGGGUCGUCACAAUAUCCAAUUUUUGCGAGUUAACCUUAACCUACCCGGACUGUGGAUGCAAAUUGAGGCAACUUGUACUGAAAGUUAUGGACAAUGUACUAAAUCCUGAUAGUGCAGCCACCAUUGAAGUGUGACUGCACAAUUUGGAAUUUGCGGCCGCGAAACCUGGGAUGUAUGGACGCACAAAACAAUGUGCGGUCAGCACAAUAGGAGGCGAUAUUGUGUGUUGAAUAAAUGAGAGUUAGGGUAUUAUUUCACAUUUAGUCUUAGAGAGCUCGAUUUGUGGCAAUAUUUUGUGAAUUUUUAAAGAAAUUCAUCGGGGUAGGUGAUCUAAUUCGGAUUUGGUUAAUAUACAUGAAUAUAUCAUUGGUUUCAUCAUUUAGUUAGUACUUUGAGAUGGAUAUUUAGGGAAAAUUAUAGAAACUUUAUAAACUAUAAUUUAGGAAUUUAAAGGUCGAGUUGUGAUUGAAUUUGACUAAUUUGGUAUGGUUGGACUCAUGGUGGAAUGUGUGUUCGGAUUUGUGACUUUUAUCCGAUUCUGAGACGUGGGCCUAGGGUCCGACUUUUGAGUUGACUUUUUGACUUUUGACUUAAAACUUAGUAUUUUUUUAUGAAAUAGAUUCCUUUAGCUCGUGUUGAUUGUAUUGAAUUGUUGUGGCUAGAUUCGAGACAUUUGGAGGCUGACUCGUGAGGCAAAGGCGUACUGGAGUAGAGUUUUUGCUCGGACUAAGGUAAGUAACAGUCCUAAAUCUGGUUCUCAGGGUAUGAAACCCCAGAUUAUGUGUUAUGUGAUUGGUUUCUCUUUGGGUCGUCACAUCCUCCACCUCUAAAACAAUCGUUCGUCCUCGAACGAAGAAAAGAAAUAAGUACUUGAGUCGGGGAAUAGAUGGGGAUAACGGGUCCGCAUAUCAGACUCGGACUCCCAGGUCGAUACCUCUGGAGGUUGACCUAUCCAUUGAACACGCACUGAAGGAAAACUCUGCGACCUCAACUGUUGAACCUGGCGGUCUAAAAUAGCCACCGGCUCCUCCUCAUAUGACAGAUCCUUGUUCAAUUGGACAGUACUGAAAUCUAACACGUGAACGGGAUCGCCGUGAUACUUUCGAAGAAUGGAUACAUGAAAAACCAGAUGCACGACUCACAAGCUAGGUGGCAAGGCAAAUCAAUAAGCCACCUUCCCCACACGGUUAAGAAUCUCAAAUGGGCCAAUAUACCUAGGGCUAAACUUGCCCUUCUUCCCGAAUCUCAUCACGCCCUUCAUAGGCGAUACACGGAGCAGUACUCGCUCACCAACCAUGAAAGCAACAUUACUAACCUUACGAUCUGCUUAACUCUUCUGCCUAGACUGAGCUGACCGAAGUCUGUCCUGAAUGAUCUUGACCUUAUCCAAGGCCUCCUGUACCAAAUCUGUACCCAAUAAUCGAGCCUCUCCCCGAUCAAACCAUCCGACUGUGGACCGACACUGCCUACCAAACAAUGCCUCAUACGGAGCCAUCUGAAUACUGGACUGGUAGCUGUUGUUGUAGGCAAACUCCGCUAAAGGCAUGAACUUGUCCCAUGAGCCUCCAAAAUCAAUAACGCAGGCUCGGAGCAUAUUCUCAAGAAUCUGAAUAGUCCUCCCGGACUGACCAUUUGUCUGGGGGUGAACUGUUGGACUCAACUGGACCUGGGUUCCCAACUCAUACUACACCGCUUUCCAGAAAUGCGAGGUAAACUACGGACCCUGGUCCGAAAUAAUAGAUAUGGGCACCCCAUGAAGGCGAAUGAUCUCCCUGAUAUAAAUCUCAGCAUUACCUCUGUGAUGAAUAGGUGGUGGCAACUGGGAUAAAAUAUGCUGACUUGGCCAGCCUAUCAACAAAAACCCAUAUAGCAUCAAACUUCUUCCGAGUCAUCGGAAGGCCAGUAACAAAAUCCAUGGUGAUUCUCUCCCACUUCCACUCGGGAAGCUCAAUCCCCUGAAAUAACCCAACGGGCCUCUGAUGCUCGUCAGGCAACGAGCCACAUAUGCAACAAUGUCUUUCUUCAUUCUGCGCCACCAAUAAUGUUUUCUCAAAUCCUGAUACAUCUUCGCGACACCCGGGUUAAUAAAAUGCCGAGAACUUUGGGCCUCCGCUAAUAUCGACUCUCGAAUACCAUCAACAUUGGGCACUCACACUCGCCACUGCGAUCUCAAUAUGCCGUCAUCUCCUAAAGUCAUCUCCCUGGCACCUCCCCACUACACCGUGUCUCUCAAGACACAAAAAUGAGGAUCAUCAAAAUGCCGCUCCCGGAUACGCUCCAUCAAUGAUGAGCGAGCAACCGUGCAAGCUAACACCCUGCUGGGUUCAGAAAUAUCCAAUCUCACAAGUCUAUUGGCCAAGGCCCGAACAUCCAAGGCAAGCGGCCUCAGACUGAUCGAAAUAUAUGCAAGACUACCCAUGCUGACAGACUUCCUACUCAAUGCAUCAGCCACCACAUUGGCCUUUCUCGGGUGGUAUAAAAUAGAAACAUCAUAAUCUUUCAACAACUCCAACCACCUCCGCUGCCUCAAAUUCAACUCUUUCUGCUUGAACAAGUACUGAAGNNNNNNNNNNNNNNNNNNNNNNNNNNNNNNNNNNNNNNNNNCUUUCUGCUUGAACAAGUACUGAAGGCUCUUGUGAUCCGUGUACACCUCACACGUCACACCAUACAAAUAAUGCCUCCAGAUCUUCAAGACAUGAACCAAUGGCUGCCAACUAUAGGUCAUGAGCAGGAUAAUUCUUCUCAAGGAUCUUCAACUGCCUCGAAGCAUAUGCUAUAACCUUGCCAAUUAUGAAUCAACACUGCGCCAAGCCCCAUGCGGGAAGCAUCACAAUACACAGUAUAAGGCCCGGAUCCCGUGGGCAAAACCAAUACCGGUGCCGUAGUCAGAGCUGUCUUGNNNNNNNNNNNNNNNNNNNNNNNNNNNNNNNNNNNNNNNNNNNNNNNNACCGGUGCCGUAGUCAGAGCUGUCUUGAGCUUCUGGAAGCUCGCCUCGCACUCAUCUGACCACCUGAACUGGGCACCCUUUUGGGUCAAUCUAGUCAUUGUCACACCCCUUUAAAACAAACUAUACUUAACCCACUUAAAUAAAUAAAAUGAUUCUAGUAAAAGCUUGAAAAGGGUUUUUCAAUUUGAAAAAGUGACAAAAAUGGUGUUUAAAAGGAAAUACUCAGAGUAGCCACCUGACAUUUGAUUUCGGUAUGCCAGGUCACCAUUUGUUUUCUUAAAUGAUUUUUCUAUUUUAAACAUUUUGAACUCUAAAACUAAGUCUACACCAAAGAUUAGGGUAAGGGGGUUCAUUUGACUCAGGGAGAAGGUGUUAGGCACUCCCCAAGUCCCGUGAAGGUCACGGUUACGUACUCGAUCUAGUUGGCUUUUAAGAUGUUCAAAUUGAGGUAAAAACACACAAAAAGAAAAUAAACAGUCAAAAGAGGCUCGAGGUCAUCCCCACCUAACAAAAUAAAAUACUAUUCUACACUUCCUCGAACCGUUCCAUCUUCGUCCUUCAAAUAAAAAUACUUCGGGGCAUACCCCCCGAUAAAAUAUAUAUACAAACCCUUUGGGAAAUACCCCGGAUAAAUAUAACUAAGGGAAGGACCUCUUUUCUUUAUACUAAUAAAAAUCCUAUGGCUUGCCUACCCAAGUGAUGACGGCCUAGCAUGCUCCUAGCGAUUAAGUUGUAAAAGAAAAUAAAUAAAAGAGUAUGAAACAAGAGAAAACCCCAAUUCAUGCCUAAAUCUGAUUCAUCCCAUUUAAACCCAACCCACCGUCCAUAUUCAUAACUCAAAACAAUUUCACAUUCAACAAACACUAAUUAACCAGGCGAAACAUCUGACAGAAGGCAAUGAGAAGGUAAAGCCUAAAGGAAGCCAAAAUACUAAUAGCUACAAGGUAAAGAAAUGUGAAUGGAAGCCAUCAGGAAGAGCCUUUUAAAGAUUACUAUUCCAAUUACCUAUUCCUAACCCCUAGUAAUGAAAUAUUGGAACUUACUUUGGAUUCAACUAGGAACAUAGCAAUGAACUGAAUCCAAGAGAAAUUAAUACCGAUAAGCCAUGAAGUCAUCAACCCAUUUAACAAAACUCAACUUGCACACGGUAUUCUAGAAGUGAACGAGAUUCCCAAAACACUUUUCCGAUUAGACUUAAUCAAUGCAUGACACUAACCACCGACUGACCCUAAAGGUUAAAACGACACCACCAUAUGAUCAAGUUGUAAUUCAAUAUCUUACUCAGCUUGACAAUGAAUCUAUCAUGCUUCAAAAUAGUUUAAGAACUUACAUCCAAACACAAACAGUGAAACUGAACUAGGAUAGUUUCAAGCAAUGACUUUAAAACAUGCUUUCAGGACAUGGAUUGAGCAACAAGGACAAUUAAAAACCAAAAUCCCAUUAUUCAGGAGGGUCCUGAAAAUUCUAAAAAUUAAAUCCCAUUAUCCAGAAGGGUCCUGAUAAUUUUAAAAACUAUAUCCCAUUAUCCAGGAGGGUCCUAAUAACUAAAAACGAACUUACCUGAGACACGCUUUCAUCUUGGAGGAUUUUGAACAGAAUUUCUUGCUCCCUGAACCAUGCUAUUCCAUGGGAGGUCCGUGUGGACUUAAAAAUUUCUUGCCCUUACUUCAGAAAAAUAAAAUCUAUUUUGUUUGAAAACGUGGUGGUUAGUUUGCGGCAUCAUUGCUGAGCGCCUGUUUCCGCUACUGCCAUGCUUCAUUUUGAUUAGCUGCUUCGGGCUAGCAAGGAGUUGUUUGAUAUUUUGACUGACACUAGACCACGAAACCUCUGCAUGACCUGAGUCCCUCACAUUCAGUUGUUGCAUUGUAUUUUUAUUAAGAAAGUUGCUGAAUCCUUGCAUUUCCUCAAAAUUCAAGAUUCACCUGAUUGCCUGAACCUCAGUUAUCACCAUAUUGCUUAUUCUGAAUCAUGUCAAUUUUGAUGUGCCUGGCCAGAAUCCGCUUUGUGCAAUUUAAAAGCUGGUAGUAGGCUUAGCAAUCCUUUCCUGCUUGUUUAACAAGGGCUAACUAGGAAGAAACUCAUAAAGAUAAACUCAAUGAGUAAAAUAAAAUGAUUUCUAACAAAAGGAACAAAUGAAAAUUUUAAACACAAAUGAUUAUGCGAAGAAGAAUGAGUAAGAGAUGACUUAUCUGAAGGAAGUUGCCAGCUCCAAUGAUCAUGACAUGCAUCUCGGACUGAUCAGCCUAAUCCGUCCAACCAAUCAUAUUUUCAGUUCAUGCCAUGUCUUCAUACUUCAAAUUCCAAUGAUCAUGACAUACAUUUCGGAGUGAUCAGCCUAAUCCAUCCAACCAAUCAUAUUUUCAGUUCAUGCCGUGUCUUCAUACUUCAAAAACGGGCUUUCAUUGAUCCAAUUUCUCUGUAAAGUUAUGAGCCUCAUUCAACUUGUAGUGCCCUAAAAGGGUUUUCAACGACAAGCCUCUCUCAUUUGUUCAUUUCUAAUCUCACCAUCGCCUUAUGGUGCCCGGAAGGGUUUUUAUCAAUAAGACUCUCAUUUUAAAUUUUCGCUUAGCUCACCAUCGCCUUACGGUGCCCGCGAGGGUUUCACCAAUAAGAGUCUUAUUUUAAAAUUUCUCUCUUGCACCCAUGAACAAAGUGUUACCCAUGAUGUAAAUCAUAUCUCUAUCUCGCUUGCCCUGGCAUCCUCAAAGAAUGAUCGAAAGGUCUUUCUUUGGACCGUAAUGUAGGCUUUUGGACGGGGUUAGAAAGAAAGGGUAGCAUGAAGGCUCAAAAUAAUUUAAGAUAAAAAGGGGUCAACAUUAGAACUUUUGUAAUUAGAUCUUUUCAAAACCAAAACUUCUGCCCCAAUUUCUUUGGGUCUGGGGAAUUUUAAUUUUUAUUGUGAUAGGACCGAUGCGUAAUGCUGCCUACAUAUCCUUGAAAGGAAUCAGGUCGAACAUAGUACAAAAGAAAGUUGUUUCAUGUUGUUGCUCUCUUUUUCCUUUUCUUUUCUCUCUCUUUUUUUUUCUUUACCUUUUUCUUUUUCUUUUUUUUCUUUUUUUUCGUUUUCCUUAUUUUCACUCAUUCAUCAUUAUUUUUCAUUCUCUAGUUUGCUAUUGAUUCCAAAAGCGGGGUAUGAAAUAAAAUAAAUAAAUAAAUAAGGCUCAAAAAGGGUAGCAAAUGAUGAAAGUGUUUGGGUAGCGGAACAAAAUGCCUUCAUCAUUUCAACUUUGAACAUGCCAAGUACAAAAUACAACUGAUGGUAAGCAAGAAAAUCAUACAUUGUACCUCUUAAAUGCAUCAGAAUUGAUGGCAAUAUCUACACAUUUGCCUUCUAUGUCUGUUAAAUACAAAGAACUAUUAGGCAACACUCUUGUCACAACGAAUGGCCCCUGCCAGUUCGGGGCGAACUUCCCUUUAGCUUCAGCUUGAUGAGGAAUGAUACGUUUCAAUACCAUCUUGCCCACUUCAAAUUUUCGAGGACGGACCUUUUUGUUAUAUGCUCUUUCCAUUCUGAUGAUGAGGAAGGAUACGUUUCAAUACCAUCCAACCCUCUUCAAAUUUCCGAGGAUGAACCUUUUUGUUAUAUACUCUUUCCAUUCUCUUCUGAUACAAUUGACCAUGACAUACUGCAACUAAUAUUUUCUCAUCAAUCAAACUCAACUGCUCAAGCCGGGUUUUGACCCACUCAUCGUCAUCAAUUUCAGCUUUUACAACGAUCCUAAGGGAAGGAAUCUCAACUUCUGCAGGUAUAACUGCCUCAGUUCCAUAUACCAGCAUAUAAGGAGUUGCACCUACUGAAGUGCAAACAGUAGUGCGAUAACCUAGCAAUGCAAAAGGCAGCUUUUCAUGCCACUGUCUAGAACCUUGAACCAUCUUACGAAGUAUCUUCUUUAUGUUCUUAUUGGCAGCCUCAACAGCUCCAUUUGCCUUGGGGCGAUACGUGGUAGAGUUUCGAUGCAUGAUCUUGAAUUGUCGGCAUACCUCUUUCAUCAAAUGACUGUUGAGAUUAGCAGCAUUGUCUGUGAUGAUCACCUUGGGAAUUCCGAAUUGACAAAUGAUGUUUGAAUGCACAAAAUCCAUCACUGCCUUCUUGGUUACGCACUUGAAAGUUACAGCUUCGACCCACUUUGUAAAGUAAUAAAUGGCCACCAGGAUGAACUUAUACCCAUUCGACGUUGCUGGCUCAAUUGGCCCAAUAACAUCCAUUCCCCAAGCAUUAAAGGGCCAAGGUGCAGACAUUGUAUGCAACUUAGACGGGGGAGAAUGAAUCAAAUCCCCGUGCACCUGGCAUUGAUGACAUUUACGAACAAAGCUGAUACAAUCCCGUUCCAUGGUGAGCCAAUAAUAACCUGCUCGAAGUAUCUUCUUUGCCAAGCCAUACCCGUUCAUAUGAGGCCCGCAAACUCCAGAAUGCACUUCGGCCAUGAUAGUUGAAGCUUCUUUAGCAUCUAUGCACCUCAGCAAUCCUAAGUCCGGAGUCCUCUUAUACAAGAUUCCUCCACUCAAGAAAACUCCACUAGCCAUACGCCGAAUGGUUCUCUUUUGGUCAACUAUAGCAUGUACUGAAGUCCUCUUGUACAAGAUUCCUCCACUCCAGAAAAAUCCACUGGCCAUAUGCCGGAUGGUUCUCUUUUGGUCACCUGUAGCAUGUACUGGAUAUAUCGCCGACCUGAUUUAUUCCUUGAUAUCGUGGAACCAAGGUUCUCCCUCGAUUUCCUCUUCGCCCACAUUAGAAUAAGUGUGUUGAUCAUGAACUUGGAUAUGCACGGGGUCAACAUAAGCCUUAUAUGGAUGAUGUAACAUUGACGCAAGGUUAGCUAGGGCAUCAGUAAUCUCAUUAUGAAUCCUGGGAAUAUGCCUAAAUUCAUCCGAUCUGAAUCAUUGACAGAGAUCAUGCAAACACUGUCGGUAUAGUAUGAGCUUCAAAUCUCAAGUCUCCCAUUCUCCUUGAAUCUGGUGAACCAACAAAUCCGAAUCUCCUAGAAUAAAUAUUUCCUGGACUCCCAUGUCUACAACUAACCUCAAACCCAUAAUGAAUGCUUCGUACUCAGCCAUGUUGUUGGUGCAAUAAAAUUGAAGCUGGGCUAUUACAAGGUAGUGUUUCCCUAUUUCGGAGAUAAGUACAACCCCUAUUUCGACCCUUUUCAUGUUAGCAGCUCCAUCAAAGAAGAGUUUCCAACCUGGCCUUUCACCGAGCUCAACCUCGUUUACACACAUGACCUCUUCAUCGGGAAAAUAAGUCUUCAAUGGCUCAUAUUCAACAUUCACCAGAUUCUUGGCCAAGUGGUCGGCCAAGGCUUGGGCUUUCAUCGCAGUCCGAGUCACAUAGAUGAUGUCAAACUCUGUAAAUACAAAAUACAACUGAAGGUAAGCUUCAAUGGAUAAUAUUCAUCAUCCACCGGAUUCUUGGCCAAGUGGUCGGCCAAGGCUUGGGCUUUCAUCGCAGUCCGAGUCACAUAGAUGAUGUCAAACUCUGUAAGUAAAAUCUACCACUUUGCAAGUCUUCCCUUGGGAAUAGGCUUCUAAAAGAUAUACUUCAAGGGAUCCAUGCGAGAAAUGAGGUAAGUAGUGUAGGACGACAGAUAAUGUUUCAACUUUUGUGCCACCCAAGUCAAGGCGCAACAUGUCCUCUUGAGAAGAGUGUACUUCACCUCAUAGGGAGUGAACUUCUUACUGAGAUAAUAUAUUGCUUGCUCCUUCUUCCCCGUGAUGUCAUGUUGACCCACCACACAACCGAAAGAAUUAUCCAAGACUGUCAAAUAGAGAAUUAAUGGUCUUCCAGACUCUUGUGGACCUACACUGUUGGGUUCGACAAGUACCUCUUGAUCUUAUCAAAUGGUUCUUGACACUCGUUAGUCCACUUGACAGCAACAUUCUUCUUUAUCAACUUAAAGAUUGGCUCACAAGUUGUCGUAAGCUGAGCAAUGAACCUGCUGAUGUAAUUUAACCUUCCAAGCAAACUCAUCACCUCUAUUUUAUUCUUUGGCGGCGGUAACUCUUGAAUGGCUUUGAUCUUUGACGGAUCCAACUCAAUACUGCAUCUACUGACCAUGAAUCCCAGAAGUUUCCCAGAGGGGACGCCAAAUGCACAUUUCACUGGAUUGAGCUUGAGAUUGCACCUGCGGAGUUUUUGGAAAAACUUCUUCAAGUCUUUAACAUGGUCAGACUGCUUCUUUGACAUUAUGAUCAGAUCAUCUACAUAAACCUCAAUCUCCCUGUGUAUCAUGUCAUGAAAUUUGGUUGUCAUCACCCUCAUGUAAGUUGCCCCAGCAUUUUUCAAACCGAAUGGCAUUACCCGAUAGCGACAUAUCCCCUAGGGCAUGAUGAACGCCGUCUUUUCUGGAUCUUCCUCAUCCAUCAAGAUUUGGUGAUAUCCUGUGUAGCAAUCCACAAAAGACCCAAUCUCAAUGUGAAUGUUCGGCAGUGGAAAAUCAUCCUUCGUGCUUGCUUUGUUAAGAUCACGGUAAUCAACAUAAACCCUGGUCUUACCAUCCUUCUUCGGUACUGGCACAACAUUUGCUAACCAAGUAGGAUAUCGAGUGACCCGGAUGACCUUUGCAGUAAGAUGCUUUGUGAUUUGUUCCUUGAUCUUCACACUCAUAUCGGUCUUGAACUUUCGCAACUUUUUCUUGACAGUAGGGAGUGCUGUGUCAGUUGGCAAUUUAUGAACCACCAGACCAGUUCUCAGGCCCGACAUAUCAUCAUAUGACCAACCAAAAACAUCUUUGUACUCAAUCAAUGUUCUGAUUAUUUCCUCAACUUGCGGAUCUAAAUGCACACUUAUCUUGGUUUCCCUGUCAUCAUCAUGGUCCCCUAGAUUGAUUGCUUCAGUUUCACUCAAGUUAGGCUUUGGUUUUUCCUCAAAUUGUUUUAGCUCUUUACUGAUUUCCUCAAAUGCUGCUUCUUCGUCAUAUUCUAUUUCAUAAUCACAUUCUACUUCUUGGAUUGUUAUUUCAGAAGUAGAUAGCUUUUAAUACUCGGCUAAAAAUUCUUCAUGCAUGUCAUGUCAUUGCAACCAGCAUAAAAAGAACUAUACAAAAGAAGAGAAAGAACAAAACAAACACUAUUAAGAAUAACGGAAAAAGAGAAAUUGCAUUUCAUUGAAAACAAAAGAAUAGAAGGGUUUGAACAUCGAAACAAGCACAAACUAAAAAUCUGGAUUACAACCCUGGAAUAACCCCAUUUCAUCAUCACAUUCUACUUCUUGGAUUGUUAUUUCAGAAUUAGAUUGGAUUUUAAGACUCGGCUGAAAAUUCUUCAUGCAUGUCAUGUAAUUGCAACCAUCAUAAAAAGAUCUGUAUAAAAGAAGAAAAAGAACAAAAAAAACACUAUUAAGAUUAACGUAAAACGAGAAAUUGCAUUUCAUUGAAAACAAAAGGAUAGAAGGGUUUGAACAUCGAAACAAGUAAAAACUAAAAUCUGGAUUACAACCCUGGAAUAAAACUCCUUUCUUUGUAAAACAAAGCAAACUACCAAAACUCCUUCCUGGUGAGGAGAGGCAUAGCUUCCCAAUUGCUAGGCUUCACAUUUGGGCCAACGAGGUUCACAUCUUCUUUACUAGAGCCUUCACCAACUUCUACCAUGUUGACUUAUUCGAACAGACUUUGGAACCUCUUGAUCAGCUCUUCAUCAACAUCAACCACAUGUUUUGGAAAUGAGAAGGUUGGGGGGGUUUUUCAGCCCCUGUCUUGACAAAUGACUUUGAGAUGUGUGGGACGGGCUUGGGGAGCGACCAUUCCUCAUAUUUCAGAUUUUUAACCCUUUUCACGCCCGUUUAUGUGGGCGUGAAUCCUAAACCAAACAUACCUGGAUUACCCACUAGGGUGCACUGGAUGUGCAAUACCUUGUAAAGAUGAGCCCAGAACCUUGCCUGGCACAAAACCAUUCUUCAAUAUUUCAUUCGCGACCAUGACAGAUGCGGAGGAUAACUUAUGUCCCGGAAUGCAUUCUCUUUCAGGAAUAUUCUCAACAGACACUGUUUAAAAAUUUUGAUAGACCCAAGGUCCCUUAUCAUCUUCACCUUCGAUAAAUGGAACAAUCGUGUCAUUACCGGCUAACAAAUCCUAAUCACCAUGCACAAUUACUUCCUGCAUGUCCCAUUCAAACUUUACCAUUUGGUGCAGAGAAGACGGGACUGCCUUAGCAGCAUGUAUCCAGGGUCUUCCCAACAAUAGAUUAUAGGAGACAGCCACAUCUACAACUUGAAACUCCAUGGUAAAAUCGGCUGGCCCUAUUGACAAUUCGAGCAUUAUGUCUCCAACAGAAUCUUUACCUCUCCCAUCGAAGCCUCGAACACACACACUGUUUAAAGGGAUUCUUUUUGUGCCAAUCUUCAGUUUCUGCAGAGUAGAUAAGGGACAAAUAUUUUCACUGGGGCCAUUAUCAACCAAAACCUUUGAAACAAUAGAAUUUUUGCACUUCACCAUGAGAUAAAGACCUUGAUUGUGUUCUGUACCCUCCAUAGGCAGUUCAUCGGUAUGUAUCAGCAAAGACAAGAGAGAGAUCUGAGCUGGUGUCUUCCUUCGCUGCUCUACGAUGGAAUAUUCCUGCACUUUCAUCUUUUUUAGGAAUUCUUCAGCCUCUUCCUCUAUGACUGAUUUCUUUACUGGCAUUUGGCUAUCUUUGGACAGCUUGACUUUCCUUAAUUCUUCUGGGGUUAAACAUCUCCCAGAUCGAAUCAAUCUUCCAGUUUCAUUAACUUCUUCCUCUAUUUCUUUUCCUUUGUAUGUUACUAUCAUUCAUUUGUAAUUCCACGGAACAUCCUUGGUAUCAACCACUGGCAGUUGGGUCACUGGUUUAAUGAUGAUAGGGGUGAUAGGAGCCCCUUUCAUAACUAUAACAGGCUUAUUUGAACCCCUGAUACUACCACUUUUGAACUUUUCGGACUUGCCCCAAUAUCUUUCGACAGCCCUUUCACGACCAACACUGGUGGCUUCGAACUCGGCUUUUCUGUCACACCUUCAACUAUCAAAGACUUUACUUUAGUAGAGUCUGGAACUUUAGCCAAACUACUUUCACUGGCCCGAAUCAUUGUGACGGGCUUAGAAGACUUCUUGAACUCCCCAUCCUUGUGAACUAUUUCAAUCAUAUGCGUCUCCUCAUAGGCUGACAAAGGGUUUUGGUUGAUGUUUGGCGCAUCUGGGCUUUGGACUACAAUUUGGUUUGUGUGAAUGAUUUCCUGGAUUGCCCAAUUCAAAUUCCAACACUUCUCUAUAUCAUGCCCUGGAGCAUCAGAACAAUAGGAGCAUCUUAGGGAAUGAUCGAGAUUCUUUGGUUGGGGAUUUGGUAUCUUUAACUCAAUCGGCCUCGAGAUGUCCAACUACCUUAACCAUUGAAACAAACUAGCAUAGGACUCUCCAAGCAGGGUAAAAGUUUGUUUUCGCUGCUGCCUGUCUCUCCUAUACUCUAGCCUUGAUCAAAAUUUUGGACCAGUGGGGUUUUGGUAGGGUUGUGGAGGUGGAUAGGUAUUUUGUGGAGCUAGGUAGAUAUUCUGCGGAGCUGGAUCACACCAUUGCGGGUAAGGAGCGGGGUGAGCAUAUGACUGUUCAUGGUGGACAAGGUAUUGGGAUGGUCUGGCUAAGGAUUGGGGGUUCUGCAGGGUACAGUAAUGUUUAUGGAGCUUGAGUGUAGGUUUGAGGUCGGGGUUGAGGGUGGAUGUAUUGAUGAGGUGAACCCCUCGGGCCACGCCAUGAUCCGAAGACAACCAUAGCGACAUUUUCCUUUUUCUUCUUGCCAAGAAAACUUCUGGUACCACUCAGGAUUGCCUUGGUAGUUGCUUUUAUAGCGGAAUAGCUCAUGAUCUUACUCGACUUGAGCCCUUCUUCCACCAUCUCUCCCAUCUUUAACACAUCAUUAAAAGACUUACCUAUAGCUGAGAUCAAGUGUCCAUAGUAAGUGGGCUCCAGAGCUCGAAGAAAGUAUUUGACCGUCUCAUCUUCAUCUGUAAGUGGAUUGACUCGUGCAACUUGCUCUCUCUAUCGAAACCCAUAUUCUCUAAAGCUUUCACCAGGUUUCUUUUCCAAGUUGGUUAGAGAUAGACGAUCUGGAACAAUUUUUAUAUUGUACUGAAACUGCCGAGCAAAGGCCUGAGCCGUAUCGUCCCAAGUAUACCAUCUACUAGCGUCCUGGCGGUUGUUCAAUUCUAAGGCUGCCCCACUCAGACUUUGGCUGAAGUACGCCAUGAGCAAUUAAUCUUUUCCGCCGGCACCUCUCAUUUUGCUGCAAUAACCCCACAGAUGAGCUACAGGAUCCCCAUGUCCGUCACACAAAUCAAACUUGGGCAUCUUAAAACCGGCAGGCAGUUGGACAUCGGGGAAUAAGCAUAAAUCCUUAUAGGCUACACUCACCUGGUUACCCAACCCUUGCAUAUUUCUCAAUGACUGCUCCAGACUAUGUACCUUCCUAAACAUCUCUUCUUGCUCUGCGUUCUUGGGUGGUUUGUCAGUUUCAACAUGAGGCUCAAAUUGGGGAGUGUAAGGGUAAGGACCUAGGACUUUGAAAGUGGGCUCUGGUGCAUAGUAGUGGGUAUCUGGAGCGGGGAAUGCGGGCUCACUAGAGGAUCGGUGAAGGGUGGCUUGUGGAGGGUGUACCAAAAUAGGAGCAGAUGUUGGAUCAGGGUACGAGGAUUUUUUGGCUGGUGGAGCAUGGAAGGUUUGGGAGGAAGUGCCUAGGUAAUUGUGGAAAGGGGUAAAUCCAGGAGCCUGUUGUGGGGAAAAAUCAAUUGUAUUGGUCCUCUGAGAUUGAGAGAGUGGUGGAAUGGAAGCAAGGUUUUCUGUGUAGUUGGUAGGGAAGGAGUAUGGAAGGUCUCCCUUAAUCAUGGCUUGGUAUAUUUCUGCCAUCUGACUCUUCAACCUCCGAACCUCCUCUUGCAAUUCUGAUUCCAACUCAACAAUCUCCCUUGGUGGGUCUACAAAUCAAGUGUCUAUUUCCUUGCUAGCCUUGACUGUUUGACGUUUUGAUCGAGUGUUUUACGGAUGACUUGCCAGGAUGUCAACAAACUAACCACCUUCCUAGAAAUUAAACAAAGGUAACAAGGAGCCACAACGCAAAACAACCAUGUUAGCGUUAGGGCAUUUAUCAUAUGAUAAUAUCACGUUACAUGCAAUGCACUUAGCAACAAUUAACGGUUCUAAAAUGGCUUUGAGGGUCGCAGGGUCAUAUGGCAUCAUCCCAAUUUGCCCAUUUCAAUCAUUCCUUCUCUUUCUUCUCCUACACCUAUUAUCACUCCUUUUUCUCUUUUUAUAUUAUUUCUGUUUAUUUUAUUUUAUUUUAUGCAAAAAGAAUUUAAUCGAACCCGAUGUAGGUUGACUACGUAUCAUGUCCCCAAUGAAUCAAACCAAGUGUAGUUCUGGAAAGUGAUGGAAAAUAAACCGAAAUAAACUUCUUUUGGGAUUUUCAUUUAAAAACUUUUGAUAUUAAAUACAAUAGGAAAUACAACAAUGAAAGACCUGACUGACUCGAAUACAGUAUGACAGACUCUGAUACUACCUAAAGGACUUAGUGCUCAUGGACAAGACACGAAAGUAAAAGACAAUAUAUGACAAUCUCAAAACACCUAAAUAGCAUAAAUGCUCAAGCUUCCCCUGAAUGUGACGGUCCUGACCGGGAUAAUUCUGGGUUGUCCGUCAUGUUCAAACUCUGCAACGUGCCUCGCAAAGAGAUACCGACGCUAGGAACAAGGACCCUAGCGUGCGCCCCCGCAUCUCGAAGGCUCACCCCAAACAAAUACUGGCUAUGCUGCUCCACCUUUGCUGCCAAUACCGAUAACUAAGACUUUAUUAACUCAAGCUUAUCCCAAAUAUCUUGGUCUAAUGCCUCCUCAACAUCAUCUGUCUGAGAUGCCCGCCCCUUAAGCUGUGCCGGCAAUGGAGAGCUGACCCCCAGUGGAUGGACUGUAACCAGAUCAGGUACUCCUGAGUACACUCAGGCCUACCAAUGUCCCUUAUCAAUGUAUUUUUCUUCAUCCUCUUUGCAUUUUUCUAGUAUUGCAAAUACUUUAUUUCGUCAGUUGCUUUCUUGCUAAAGUUUACGACGUGCCUUUGAAGAUUCAAAGUUGGAGGUUCUUCUUGUCUUCUGCCCAACUGUCGUAUUACUCUAAUGGGAGUGUAUGGCCUGACACACUUAAGUCCUAUCAGUAUCAACAAAGGCUGCAUGAGACAUCCUACCAAGAUCUCAUCUAAAGGUAGCCAAAGGUAAGCCCAUAAAACAUUCCCAUUUGUCCUCAAACCAAGGAACUCCAUCCAAGCCGUGACAUCUACUGGUAUGUAACUUAGGAGACUUCAUCCUACGCUCGAUGCAUACCAUCUGAUCCCUCAAGGCAUGGUCGAUGGGAUUAAGUAAGGAAGCGGUGUGCACAUGUUCCAUCAUCAACAAUUGUAGCAAAAGGUUACUUCCUUCAAAAUACCUGACACCUUCCAUAACCUCGCUCAGGGCUCGGUAUAACUCUGCUAAGAUCAUUGUUACAACGGUAACGGUUUUGUGUUGCUUCUCAUGAAAUAGUGCCAUUACCACUGACUGCAGGUGGGUGCUAAUGUGCCUCUCAUCUAAUGGAAAAACCAAC